CUUCUCUUUCUUUAUCUCCUGUCUCUGUGUCUCUCUCUGUGUUUCUUUGGGAUGAACGACUCCUCAAAACCACCACAACCACCACCGCCACCACUCUCUACUAUCUUAAAAGAGAAAGUCGGUGGCUAUUCCACCGACCCCUCUUCAAUUUUUCCUCUCAAGACCCUUCUUCUAUUUUUCCUCUAAGCUAUCACUACCAACAAUCGGAAUUCCAGAACACAAGAUUGACGAAAUCAAAAUGCAUACGAACUCAUUCUCAAUCCAUAAAAAGGAAAAAAUACGAAGCCGGACCUCCACGGUGGUUCACCGUCAAGGCAGACGGCGACGAUGGCGACGCCAUCGUUUCUGGAGGCAGAUGCGGCGGCUCCAAUGGGUUCCGUUUUUACAACCAUGAUCUCCGGCGAACCGCUAUGAUUUUUUAAUCGAAGAUUGAUGACUCUUAGGCCACCCUCGACAGAGAAAUUGAAGCUCUGCACACCAGGUGUUCGCUUAAAUGCUCAUUUCAGAUUUACAUUUGAAUUUGAGGAGGGCUACAUCAUUCUUGAGUGAUAAAAGAUACAUAAUCAGUUGAAGAAGCCUCCCUUUCUUUGUAGGCGGAGGUGAGUAUGUCCUAUUACCAAGUCAUUUAUUCUUUAUUCUAAUUGUGUGAGUUAUAUUUCCUCUUAUUCUUUUCAUUUUCCAACGAGAGUUAAAGUUUUGUGCCCUUUGAAGAUUGGGGAUAAGAAACCAGAUGAUAUAAGGACGAAUAAAGAUUGGUAGUCGAGUUGGAUAACAGGUCAAAACUGGCUUCGGUUUGAAACGAGACAUUGCAAUAUUAUGGUAUGCUUAUUAUGAUUUAAUAUAAAAUAGCCUUGGGUUGAAGCGAUUCAGAUUUAUGACGUCCCUAAAAAAGGGUGUGCAUGUUCCCAACCCAGCUUUCAUGUACUAUGUAAACACUACUAUAGAAGAAGAAAGUGACGAUGCAAAAGUUGUUUUCUUCAACGAAGCGUUGGAACAAAUGCUGGAAAAAAGUU